GUCUACGUAGCUCAGUAGGUAGAGCACAUCCUUGGUAAGGAUGAGGUCAUCGGUUCAAAUCCGAUCGUAGGCU
rnacentral:tRNA from 1 species